CAGAUCUAAGGAACUAAACUGUCAGUGAGUCCAUAAUUUUUUUCCACAGUGGGAUCCCAUGGGAGAAAGAUGCUGUUGUCCCACACAGGCUCUGAGGAGACUGGCUACUUCAAAGGUUGCUCCACUCACAGGCCGAACUUUUCCAUACUAGUUUUAAGAGCUUCAUUGCUGGAUAUUCUGACAUAAUUAGAGGUAAUAGUAAUUCAUUUACAAAUAAGCAUUUACUGAGAGCCAUUCCUUCCAACCAAUUGUUUGGGUUUUUUUUUCUAAUUUAAAGAAGGCGUAACUUAAAGACUCUAGAAAAUUUUUCAACUUCCAUCUCAAUACAACGAAUUUUAAAAAGGGACAGGCUCUUCUAGAACCAGCCAUAUCAUUUCUCCUGGGAAAGCUGACAUGAUCUCACCUGGUUCCUUCAAGGCCUGUCCAGCCAUGAGUUACAUAAUCAAGCAGCCGAGCUGCUUUCCAGAGUCUCCAGCUGUGAGCAACAGUAAGGGAAACAUACCCUGCCUGCCUCAAGAUGGUGACGCAGGGUAACCCAGGCCUGAGAGAUGCCUGGGCACCCAGGAGAAGCACCGUAGCCGGACUGUGAAGCUGCGGAAUGUGGGCACUGAACCCUGAUCAGACCUUCUGUUUGCCUGGGGAGUGGGCAGUGGGCACCCGGACAGCUCCUGAUGGCUCUCAAACCGCACUGUCCCCUCCAGUAACCAGCCACAGGGGCCUGCUGAGCAUUUGAAAUGCUGCUGGUGCCACUGAAGAACUAAGUUUCUUAUGUGAUCUAAUCUGAGUUCAUUUAAAAUUGGAUUUAAGAGCUGAUGUGCAGGGUGAGGGAAACGGGGCAAUGUCAGUCAAAGAGUAUGAACUCCCAGGUAUGAGAUGGAUGAGUUCUGAGAAUCUAAUGCACAGCAUGGGGCUCGCAGUUAAUAACAGUGUAUUAUAUACUUGAAAGUUGCUAAGAAAGUACAUCUUAAAUGUUUUCAUCACAAAAAAGAAACUUACGUAGUGUGAUGAAGAUGUUAGCUAUGGUGGUAAUCAUUUUGCAAUGCAUAGGUGUAUCAAAUCAACACAGUGUACACCCUAAACUCAUACACUGUCAUGUAGCAAAACUCAUAUGACUGUCAUGUCAUAUUGUGUCCCAAUAUAGCCUGAAAAAAAUAAUUAAGUGAAUACUUAAUAUUCACUUAAUAUUAGUGAUCCUUAAUAUGAUAAGGAUUGCUAAAACAAACGUAAGAAAUAAUACUUGAUUCAGUUAUGGGGCAACUUAAAUACAUGUUUGAAACAACUUGGGUGCAUAAGUCUGCUUUUUCCUACUGGAAAGUUUAUGAAAUCUAAACACAGAUUGAUGGGCCCGAAGUGUUUACCUUGAAAAAAUUAGAGUGUUCAAAGCAGGCCCACGAAAGUAAGUAAAUAAAUAAAUGAGUGAAUACAGGUUGAGUAUUUUCUAUGUAAAUUUAGUGUCCAAACUGAGACAG